GAUGAACGCUGGCGGCGUGCCUAAUACAUGCAAGUCGAGCGAACGGACGAGAAGCUUGCUUCUCUGAUGUUAGCGGCGGACGGGUGAGUAACACGUGGAUAACCUACCUAUAAGACUUGGAUAACUUCGGGAAACCGGAGCUAAUACCGGAUAAUAUUUUGAACCGCAUGGUUCAAAAGUGAAAGACGGUCUUGCUGUCACUUAUAGAUGGAUCCGCGCUGCAUUAGCUAGUUGGUAAGGUAACGGCUUACCAAGGCAACGAUGCAUAGCCGACCUGAGAGGGUGAUCGGCCACACUGGAACUGAGACACGCUCCAAACUCCUAAGGGAGGCAGCAGUAGGGAAUCUUCCGCAAUGGGCGAAAGCCUGACGGAGCAACGCCGCGUGAGUGAUGAAGGUCUUCGGAUCGUAAAACUCUGUUAUUAGGGAAGAACAUAUGUGUAAGUAACUGUGCACAUCUUGACGGUACCUAAUCAGAAGGCCACGGCUAAGUACGUG
rnacentral:rRNA from 1 species